UGGAAAUGAUGUAGUAGAGAUAGUUGGGUUUUAAUUGUUGUAUGAGUGGAAAAUUUUAAUAUGUAUGCUGAGUAAUUCUAUUUUAAUGUUUGAUUGUGAAUUCAGUUUGUGUGUAUGUAUAUGCAUGUGUGCUUUUGGCAGCUAUCGAAAGGGGGCACUGUUUGGUGAUGCUGAUAAUGGCGUGCAUCUGAGGCUGUUGUAGAAAUAACCUGGGUUGUUGAAUACAAUGUAGCCAGUGAUUAUAACCCAAGGGAAAAAAAGAGAGAAAAAAUACUUUGUUGAUUGAUUUCAUUUCGGCAUUUCUAAAAUAUUCCAA
ensembl:scaRNA